AUUGAACGCUGGCGGAAUGCUUUACACAUGCAAGUCGAACGGCAGCACGGGGCAACCUGGUGGCGAGUGGCGAACGGGUGAGUAAUACAUCGGAACGUGCCCAAUCGUGGGGGAUAACGUAGCGAAAGUUACGCUAAUACCGCAUACGAUCUACGGAUGAAAGCGGGGGAUCGCAAGACCUCGCGCGAGUGGAGCGGCCGAUGUCAGAUUAGGUAGUUGGUGGGGUAAAGGCUCACCAAGCCAACGAUCUGUAGCUGGUCUGAGAGGACGACCAGCCACACUGGAACUGAGACACGGUCCAGACUCCUACGGGAGGCAGCAGUGGGGAAUUUUGGACAAUGGGCGCAAGCCUGAUCCAGCCAUUCCGCGUGCAGGAUGAAGGCCUUCGGGUUGUAACUGCUUUUCUCAGGGAAAAGGAUAGAUGGUACCUGAGGAAUAAGCCCGGCUAACUACGUGCCAGCAGCCGCGGUAAGCACGAGAGUA
rnacentral:rRNA from 1 species